AGCGAACGCUGGCGGCAGGCCUAACACAUGCAAGUCGAACGAAGUCUUCGGACUUAGUGGCGGACGGGUGAGUAACACGUGGGAACGUACCUUUUGGUUCGGAACAACUCAGGGAAACUUGAGCUAAUACCGGAUGAGCCCUUAGGGGGAAAGAUUUAUCGCCGAAAGAGCGGCCCGCGUUAGAUUAGCUAGUUGGUGAGGUAGAGGCUCACCAAGGCUACGAUCUAUAGCUGGUCUGAGAGGAUGAUCAGCCACACUGGGACUGAGACACGGCCCAGACUCCUACGGGAGGCAGCAGUGGGGAAUCUUGCGCAAUGGGCGAAAGCCUGACGCAGCCAUGCCGCGUGAAUGAUGAAGGUCUUAGGAUUGUAAAAUUCUUUUACUAGGGACGAUAAUGACGGUACCUGGAGAAAAAGCCCCGGCUAACUUCGUGCCAGCCGCCGCCGUAAUAC
rnacentral:rRNA from 1 species